rnacentral:rRNA from 3 species
UACGUAGGUGGCAAGCGUUGUCCGGAUUUAUUGGGCGUAAAGCGAGCGCAGGCGGUUCCUUAAGUCUGAUGUGAAAGCCCCCGGCUCAACCGGGGAGGGUCAUUGGAAACUGGGGAACUUGAGUGCAGAAGAGGAGAGUGGAAUUCCAUGUGUAGCGGUGAAAUGCGUAGAUAUAUGGAGGAACACCAGUGGCGAAGGCGACUCUCUGGUCUGUAACUGACGCUGAGGCUCGAAAGCGUGGGUAGCAAACAGG